rnacentral:rRNA from 1 species
UCAAUUAUUUUAAUACCUCUGGCUAUAGGAAAUUGUUAGUGGCAGACAGGUGAGUAAUGCGUAGGAAUCUACCNUAGUAGUACGGAAUAGCCAUUAGAAAUGGUGGGUAAUACUGUAUAAUCCCCGAGGGGGAAAGAUUUAUCGCUAUUAGAUGAGCCCACGUUAGAUUAGCUAGUUGGUGAGGUAAUGGCUUACCAAGGCUAUGAUCUAUAGCUGGUCUGAGAGGACGAUCAGCCACACUGGAACUGAGAUACGGUCCAGACUCCUACGGGAGGCAGCAGUGGGGAAUAUUGGACAAUGGGCGAAAGCCUGAUCCAGCUAUGCCGCGUGAGUGAAGAAGGCCUCCGGGUUGUAAAACUCUUUCAAUAGGGAAGAUAAUGCCGGGUACCUAUAA